GAAGAAAGCUGGAGGCGUGCUUAACACAUGCAAGUCGAACGGAAAGGCCCUGCUUUUGUAGGGUGCUCGAGUGGCGAACGGGUGAGUAACACGUGAGUAACCUGCCCUUGACUUUGGGAUAACUUCAGGAAACUGGGGCUAAUACCGGAUAGGAGCUCCUGCUGCAUGGUGGGGGUUGGAAAGUUUCGGCGGUUGGGGAUGGACUCGCGGCUUAUCAGCUUGUUGGUGGGGUAGUGGCUUACCAAGGCUUUGACGGGUAGCCGGCCUGAGAGGGUGACCGGCCACAUUGGGACUGAGAUACGGCCCAGACUCCUACGGGAGGCAGCAGUGGGGAAUAUUGCACAAUGGGCGGAAGCCUGAUGCAGCAACGCCGCGUGCGGGAUGACGGCCUUCGGGUUGUAAACCGCUUUCGCCUGUGACGAAGCGUGAGUGACGGUAAUGGGUAAAGAAGCACCGGCUAACUACGUG
rnacentral:rRNA from 1 species